rnacentral:rRNA from 1 species
AGAUUGAACGCUGGCGGCAUGCCUAACACAUGCAAGUCGAACGGGAGUAGCAAUACUCUAGUGGCGGACGGGCGAGGAAUACGUAGGAAUUUGCCCUUAAGUGGGGGAUAACCCGGGGAAACCCGGAUUAAUACCGCAUGACCUCGAAAGAGCAAAGUGGGGGAUCGCAAGACCUCACGCUUUUGGAGAAGCCUACGUCGGAUUAGCUAGUUGGUGAGGUAAUGGCUCACCAAGGCGACGAUCCGUAACUGGUCUGAGAGGAUGAUCAGUCACACCGGAACUGAGACACGGUCCGGACUCCUACGGGAGGCAGCAGUAGGGAAUAUUGGACAAGUGGGCGACAAGGCCUGACUCCAGCAAUGCCGCGUGUGUGAAAGGACGUCCGUUCGGUUGUAAAGUACAACUUUAAGUAGGGUAAAGAAAAAACGUCGACUACUAACACGAGUACGAGUAC